GCGCCUGUUCCAAAAGGCACUAGUCUGAAACUUCCCAAACGGAAAUAUCACUUCGUACGGUUUUCUUGCGAACAUCAUGCUUGUCAAGUUCUAUUUGCGCCAGUUCUGCAAGUCAUCUGUCCGGCACAAGAUCAUCAAGAAGACCGUCAAGUUUAGCAUGAAGCAGUGACUCAAGGUGCUCGAUUUUCUUAGCAAGCUCGGUGUUAGUGGGCAUGUUGUGCAAAAAAAAUCAAAAGGCAACAGUUAUGAGCAGCACCCGAAGGAGGCACACACCAGAGGAAAAAGGAACUGUUCAAUCAGGCGACCUCGCGCAUCGCAGCGAGAAUCACCCCAGAGGCUACCAUGUGCAUUAAAAUCUCCUAGGACAAGUGCAAGCUAGGCAUUCAAGCUGGGCGGUGGAGCCUAUGCCGUCACAAUUUAUGAGCAGAUCUCUUGGGCUUCUGGUCCAUGGGCAGGAAUGAGUUACACCUACCAUUUUCUCUUCAUCGCUCGCUGCGUCAUCCUCAAUUUAUGCUGAACAACGCUCCAGGUU